rnacentral:rRNA from 1 species
GCAAUUAUACCGUGAAACUGCGAAUGGCUCAUUAAAUCAGUUAUCGUUUAUUUGAUAGUACCUUACUACUUGGAUAACCGUGGUAAUUCUAGAGCUAAUACAUGCUGAAAACCCCAACUUCGGGAGGGGUGUAUAUAUUAGAUAAAAAACCAACGCCCUUCGGGGCUUCUUGGUGAUUCAUGAUAUCUUUACGGAUCGCAUGGCCUUGCGCCGGCGACGGUUCAUUCAAAUUUCUGCCCUAUCAACUUUCGAUGGUAAGGUAUUGGCUUACCAUGGUUUCAACGGGUAACGGGGAAUUAGGGUUCGAUUCCGGAGAGGGAGCCUGAGAAACGGCUACCACAUCCAAGGAAGGCAGCAGGCGCGCAAAUUACCCAAUCCCGACACGGGGAGGUAGUGACAAUAAAUACUGAUACAGGGCUCUUUUGGGUCUUGUAAUUGGAAUGAGUACAAUUUAAACCUCUUAACGAGGAACAAUUGGAGGGCAAGUCUGGUGCCAGCAGCCGCGGUAAUUCCAGCUCCAAUAGCGUAUAUUAAAGUUGUUGCAGUUAAAAAGCUCGUAGUUGAACCUUGGGUCUGGCUGGCAGGUCCGCCUCACCGCGUGUACUUGUCCGGCCGGGCCUUCCUUCUGGAGAACCUCAUGCCCUUCACUGGGCGUGUUGGGGACCAGGACUUUUACUUUGAAAAAAUUAGAGUGUUCAAAGCAGGCCUUUGCUCGAAUACGUUAGCAUGGAAUAAUAGAAUAGGACGUGCGGUCCUAUUUUGUUGGUUUCUAGGACCGCCGUAAUGAUUAAUAGGGACAGUCGGGGGCAUCAGUAUUCAAUUGUCAGAGGUGAAAUUCUUGGAUUUAUUGAAGACUAACUACUGCGAAAGCAUUUGCCAAGGAUGUUUUCAUUAAUCAGUGAACGAAAGUUAGGGGAUCGAAGACGAUCAGAUACCGUCGUAGUCUUAACCGUAAACUAUGCCGACUAGGGAUCGGGCGAUGUUCUUUUUCUGACUCGCUCGGCACCUUACG